AAGCAUCCAAUUAAUUUUCUUAUCUUCAUAAAUUUAGAAACGUCUGGCAAUAGCAAUGCCAUGUUAUGAGCUGAAUGUAUAACUGAGAUCAUUACAGUCCCCCCAAAUGGCUACAAUA
rnacentral:snoRNA from 1 species